rnacentral:lncRNA from 1 species
ACUCAGUUGGACGGCGUAAGGCAUGGCAUGAAAUCAUCGCCCUUAGCGCAUACGGUCGAACGGCGUAGAGCGUAGCAUGCCAUCACCGCCUUGUGACAUCACACACGGUCAGACGACGUCGGGCGUGGCAUGCUAUCACCGCCUUUAGGCUGCACAAACAGCAUGCCAUCACCGCCCUUGGAUAGCACACAAGGUCGGAUAACGUCUGGCGUGGCAUGCCAUCACCGCCCUUGGACUGCACCCACGGUAGGACGACGUCGGGCGUGGCAUGCCAUCACCGCCCAUGGACUGCACGCAUGGUCGGGCAUGGCAUGACAUCAUCGCCAUAGGACAGCACACGAUUGGACGACGUCAGGCAUGGCAUGACCUCACCGCCCUUGGGUAGCGCACACGGUUGGACUACGUCAGGCGUGGCAUGACAUCACUGCCUUUGUACAGCACACGCAGUCGAACGAUGUCGAGCGUGGCAUGCCAUCAUCGCUUUUGGGCAGCACACACGAUCGAACGAAGUCGGGCAGGGCAUGCCAUAAUAGCCCAUGGACGGCAAACACGAUCGAACGACGUCUGGCGUGACAUGCCAUCACCGCCUUUGUACAGCACACACGGUCGAACGACGUCGGGCAUGGCAUGCCAUCUUGACUUUGGGAAGCACACACGGUCGAAAAACAUCGGGCGUGGUAUGACAUCACCGCCUUUGGGCAUCACACACGGUCAAACGUCAUCGGGCAUGACAUGCCAUCAUCGCCUUUAGACAGCACACACGGUCGAAUGAAGUCAGGCGUGGCAUGCUAACAUAGCCCUUGAACGGCAAACAAGGUUGAAUGACGUCAGGCGUGGCAUGCCAUCAUCGCCUUUGGAGUAGUUGACACAGUCGGACGGCAUCAGGAGUGGCAUGCCAUCAUCGCUCUUGGACUGGAAACACGGUCGAACGACGUAGAGCGUGGCAUGCCAUCAACGCCUAAGGCCAACACACAAAGAAGGACGACGUCGGGCGUGGCAUGCUAUCAUCUCCUUUGGGCAGCACAGACGGUCAGACGACGUCGGGCGUGGCAUGCCAUCACCUCCCUUGGACAGCACACAUGGUUGGAUGACGUCGGGCGUGGCAUGCCAUCAUCUCCUUUGGGAAGCACAAUCGGUCGAACGACGCCGACGUGGCAUGCCAACUUCACCUUUGGGCAGUACACAAGGUCGACCGACGUCGGGCGUGGCAUGCCAGCAUUGCCUUUGGGCAGCACACACAGCCGAAAGACGUCGAGCGUGGCAUGACAUCACCUCCUUUGUACAGCGCACACGGUCGAACAACAUCGAGCGCGACAUGCCAUCACCGCCUUUGGAAAGCACACACGGUCGAACGACAUCGGGCGUGGCAUGCGAUCAUCACCUUUGGGCAGCACAAACAGUCUGACGGCGUCGGGCGUGGCAUGCCAUCAUAGCCCUUAAAAGGCAAACAAGGUUGAACGACGUCGGGCGUGGCAUAUAUUAUCGCCUUUGGACUAGCUGACAUAGUUGGACGGUGUAACGCGUGGCAUGCCAUCAUCGCCCUUGGACGGGAAACACGGUCGAACGAUGUAGAGCGUGGCAUGCCAUCACCGCCUUGGGAUAUCACACACGGUCAGACGAUGUCGGGCGUGGCAUGCUAUCAUCGCCUUUGGGCAGCAAAAACAGUCGGACGACAUCAUGUGUGGCAUGCCAUCACCGCCCUUGGAUAGCACACAAGGUCGGAUGACUUCUAGCGUGGCAUGCCAUCGCCGCCCUUGGACUGCACCCACGGUAGGACGACGUGGGGCAUGGCAUGAGAUCACCGCUCUAGGACUGCACGCAUGGUCAGGCAUGGCAUGACAUCACCGCCAUAGGACAGCACACGAUCGGACGACGUCGGGAAUGGCAUGACAUCAGCGCCCUUGGGCAGCACACACGGUUGGACUACGUCAGGCGUGGCCUGACAUGACCGCCUUUGUACAGCACACACGGUCGAACGACGUCGGGCGUGGCAUGCCAUAAUAUUCUUUGGGCACACAGACGAUCGAACAACGUCGGGAGGGGCAUGCCACAAUAGCCCAUGGACGAAAAACACAAUUGAACGACAUCAGGCGUGACAUGCCAUCACCGCCUUUGGACAGCACACACGGUCGAACGACGUCGGGCGUGGCAUGCCAUCUUGCCUUUGGGAAGCACACAGUCGAAAUAUGUCGGGCGUGGUAUGACAUCACCGCCUUUGGGCAUCACAUACGGUCAAAUGUCGUCGGGCAUGACAUGCAAUCACCGCCUUUAGACAGCACACACGGUCGAAUGAAUUUAGGCGUGGCAUGCCAUCAUAGCCCUUGAACAGCAAACAAGGUUGAAUUACGUGAGGCGUGGCAUGCCAUCAUCGCCUUUGGACUAGCUGACAUAGUCGGACGUCGUCGGGCGUGGCAUGCCAUCAUCGCCCUUGGACGGGAAACACAACCGAAUGACGUAAAUCAUGGCAUGCCAUCAACGCCUAAGGACAGCACAAAAGGAAGGACGACGUCGGGCGUGGCAUGCUAUCAUCUCCUUUGGGCGGCACAGACGGUCAGACGACGUUGGGCGUGGCAUGCCAUCACCGCCCUUGGACAGCACACAUGGUCAGAUGACGUCGAGCGUGGCAUGCCAUAACCACCCUUGUACAGCACACACGGUAGGAUGACGUCGGGCGUGGUAUGAGAUCACAGCUCUUGGACGGCACGCAUGGUCAGACUACGGUGGGCGUGGCAUGACAUCACCACCUUUGGACAGCACACACGGUCGAACAUCGUCGGGCGUGGCAUGCUAUCAUCGCCUUUGGGCAGCACACAUGGUCGAACGACGUUGGGCAUGGCAUGACAUCACCGCCUUUGGACAGCACACACAGUCGAACAACGUCAGGCGUGACAUGCCAACACCACCUUUGGACAGCCCACACGGUCGAACCACGUCGAGCGUGGCAUUCCAUUAUCGCCUUUGGGCAGCACACACGGUCGAAAUACGUCUGGCGUGGCAUGCCAUUAUUGCCUUUGGGCAGCACAAACGGUCGAACGACGUCGGGCGUGGCAUGACAUCACCGCCCUAGGACUACACGCACGAUCGGACAACGUCGGGCGUGGCAUGAUAACACCGCCCUAAGACAACACACACGCUCGAACGACGUCGAGCCUGGCAUGACAUCAUCGCCUUUGGACGGCACGCACGGUCAAACGACGUCAGGAGUGGCAUGACAUCACCACCCUUGGACGUCACACACGGUCGAACGUCGUUGGGCAUGGCAUGCAAUCAUCGCCUUUGGGCAGCACACACGAUCGAAUGACGUCGGGCAUGGCAUGACAUCACCGCCUUUGGGCAGCACACACGGUAAAACGAUCUCGGGCGUGACAUGCCAUCACCGCCUUUGGACAGCACACAAGGUCAAAUGACGUCGGGCUUGGCAUGCCAUCAUCACCUUUGGGCAGCACAAACGGUCGAACAACGUCGGGCGUGGCAUGCCAUCAUCGCCUUUGGGAAGCACAAACGGUCGAACCACGUCGGGCGUGGCAUGCCAACAUCACCUUUGGGCAGCACACACGGUUUAACGAGUUCGGGCUUGGCAUGCCAGCAUCGCCUUUGGGCAACACACACGGUCGAACAACAUCGGGCGUGGCAUGCAAUCAUUGCCUUUGGGCAACACACAUGGUCGAACGACGUCGGGCGUGGCAUGACAUCACCGCCUGUUGACAGCAUACGCGGUCGAACGAUGUCGGGCGUGGCAUGCCAUCAUCUCCUUUGGGCAGCACAGACGGUCGAACAACUUUGGGCGUGGCAUGCCAUCAUAGCCCUUUAAUGGAAAACACGGUCGAACGACGUCGGGCGUGGCAUGCCAUCACCGCCUUUGGACAGCGCACACGGUCGAACGAUGUCGUGGGCGGUUCCCUUGUGUGAACCUUGGUCUUCCUCCAACAAUCUUUGCAGUGAUUAAAUUCUCAACUCCCUUGGGUAGGAGUGCGACGGCGGGUGUAGCAUUGGCCUAGCAAAGAAGGCAUCGGCGUCUUUGCACGACAUCUCAUGUCGGGCGUCGGGGUGGAUGUCGAGCGUUCAUUGACGGAGCUAUUCAGCUAUGGCGCAUGAGUGGUAUUAGGCAUUUGUUGGUAGGUUGGAUCCCUAUUUCGAGAAGCAACGUCUUAACUCGUAUGCCAAUUCGGUGGCGGAUGAAGCGUAAUCUAGGCUGGUCAGACGUCGGAAUCCUGUGCUGGAUAAUUAAUGCCUAGGCAUUGUGCACAUGCAAAUGGUCGCCUUUCUCCCUUCGAGUCCCAUGUGCGGGGUGAACCCAAAAGACGCUUUCGCGUCCCACACCUUCCCUUGCUUCGUCGUACAAUGGCGUAAUCCAUGAGCGGCGCCUCGAUUUCUCAGAUACGGUAGAUAUAGUGGGCAUGGGGCCUUCAUCGGCUUCUAUCUGCCCAAAACAAAUGCUCCUUACGAAUGACUAUCGCGCUCUCCUUAGACCCGACCGUGACCGAAAGGGAACGCCAGUCUCAUGCGGCGCGGCAUUUUUGAGGAAUGCUACCUGGCUGAUCCUGCCAGUAGUCAUAUGCUUGUAUCAAAGAUUAAGCCAUGCAUGUGUAAGUAUGAACAAAUUCAGACUGUGAAACUGCGAAUGGCUCAUUAAAUCAGUUAUACUUUGUUUGAUGGUAUCUACUACUCGGAUAACCGUACUAAUUCUAGAGCUAAUACGUGUAACAAACCCCGACUUCUAGAAGGGAUGCAUUUAUUAGAUAAAAGGUCGACGCGGGCUCUGCCAGUUGCUGUGAUGAUUCAUGAUAACUCGACGGAUCGCACGGCCAUCGUGCCGGCGACGCAUCAUUCAAAUUUCUGCCCUAUGAACUUUUGAUGGUAGGACAGUGGCCUACCAUGGUGGUGACGGGUGACGAGGAAUUAGGGUUUGAUUCCGGAGAGGGAUCCUGCAAAACGGCUACCACAUCCAAAGAAAGCAGCAGGCGUGCAAAUUACCCAAUUCUAACACGGGGAGGUAGUGACAAUAGAUAACAAUACUAGGCUCCAUGAGUCUGGUAAUUGGAAUGAGUACAAUCUAAAUCCCUUAACGAGGAUCCAUUGGAGUGAAAGUCUGGUGCCAGCAGUCGCGGUAAUUCCAGCUCCAAUAGCGUAUAUUUAAGUUGUUGCAAUUAAAAAGCUCGUAGUUGGACUUUGGGAUGGGCCGGCCGGUCCCCCCUAGAUGUGCACCGGUCGUCUCGUCCCUUCUGUCGGGCGAUGCGCUCAUGGCGUUUAAUGGCCGGGUCGUGCCUCCGACGUUGUUACUUUGAAGAAUUAGAGUGCUCAAAGAAAGCCUACGCUCUGUAUACAUUAGCAUGGGAUAACAUUAUAGGAUUUCGGUCAUAUUACGUUGUCCUUUAGGAUCGAAGUAAUGAUUAACAGGGACAGUCGGGGGCAUUCGUAUUUCAUAGUCAGAGGUGAAAUUCUUGGAUUUAUGAAAGAUGAUCAACUGCGAAAGCAUUUGCCAAGAAUAUUUUCAUUAACCAAGAACGAAAUUUGGGGGCUCGAAGAUGAUUAGAUAUCGUCCUAGUCUCAACCAUAAACGAUGCUGACCAGGGAUCAAUGGAUGUUUCUUUUAGGACUCUGCCGCCACCUUAUGAGAAAUCAAAGUGUUUGGGUUCUGGGGGGGAGUAUGGUUGCAAGGCUGAAACUUAAAGGAAUUGACGGAAGGGCACCACCAGGAGUGGAGCCUGCGGCCUUAUUUGACUCAACACGGGGAAACAUACAAGGUCCAAACAUAGUAAGGAUUGACAGACUGAGAGAUCUUUCUUGAUUUUACUGGUGGUGGUGCAUGGCCGUUCUUAGUUAGUGAAGCGAUUUGUAUAGUUAAUUCCGUUAACGAAUGAGACCUCAUCCUGCUAACUAGCUAUGCGGAGGUAUCCCUUCGCGGCCAGCUUCUUAGAGGGACUACGACCUUUUAGGCCGCGGAUGUUUGAGGCAAUAACAGGUCUGUGAUGCCCUUAGAUGUUAUGGGCUGCACACGCGCUACACUUAUUAUUCAAGAGCUUAUAGCCUUGGCCAACAGGCCCGGGUAAUCUUUGAAAUUUCAUCGUGAUAGGGAUAUAUCAUUGCAUUUAUUGGUUUUCAACGAGGAAUUCCUAGUAAGCGUGAGUCAUCAGCUCGCGUUGACUACGUCCCUGCCCUUUGUACACACUGCCCGUCGCUCCUACCGAUUGAAUGAUUUAGUGAAAUGUUCGGAUCGCGGUGACAUCGGCGGUUCGCUGCACGCGAAGUCGUGAGAAGUCCAUUGAACCUUAUCAUUUAGAGGAAGGAGAAGUUGUAACAAGGUUUCCAUAGGUGAAACUGCGGAAGGAUCAUUGUCGAAGCCUGUACAGCAGAACGACCUGCGAACUCGUUUUAAACACCUGGGGGCGGCGCUCGCUCAUUGUGCGCCUCCCUUCUGUCACCCGACGGGUGCAAGCUCUUCGGGCGACCACCGAACCCUGGCGCGGAAAGCGCAAAGGAAUACUACAAUCGACAGCCCUCUCCUCGCGCCCUGUUCACGGAUCAUGGGGGGAUGCGCGCUUCUCUGAUAACACAAACGAUUCUCGACAACGAAUAUCUCGGCUCUCGCAUCAAUGAAGAAGGUAGCGAAAUGCGAUGCUUCGUGUGAAUUGCAGAAUCCCGUGAACCAUCGAGUCUUUGAACGCAAGUUGCGCCCGAAGCCAUUUGGCCGAGGGCAUGUCUGCCUAGGCAUCACGCAUCGCGUUGUCCUCUGGUGCACGUCGCAAGGCUGAACGCGGGGGCGAAAGCUGGCCUUUCAUGCGCCUGGCCUAAAUGUGAGUCCACGUCGACGGACGUCGCGGCAAGGGGUUAUUUUAUAAUUUAUUUUCACACUUUUUAAUUUUUUUACGUCUCCUUUUAAAAAUUAAAAUUUAUUAAAUUUUUUAUUUUAAGGUUCCCAUAUUUAUUUGUAAAUUUUCCAAGUUGAUUUCAUAUUUUUUCUGAUAUUUUCCCUAUUUUUUAUUAAUUUAUUACUAAUUUUUCAGAAUUUUAAAAAAAAAAAAUUUAAAAAAAUGUUGAAAAAUGUUUUUUUAUAUAUAUUGAAGUUAUUUAUGAAAGCUAAUGUGUGUUUGUACCUUUGAACGUGCAUAUUUGGGUUGUACAUUUCCAUUAUGAUUCUCUGGAAAAUCCAUGUCUACUCCUGUCACAUGGGUAAAACUUUUUUAAGCAUAUAUAAGGGGGGUAGAGGUGUUGGAGGCAGACUGAGGCGCAGGCAGGCACACGACAUAGGCUUCCUUUGGGCUUAGUAGGCAUGCUGCGUGGGCGCUUGAUGGCAUGCAUGGCUUGUUCGUGCUAACAGUGUUGGGCAUUUACAAAAACACGUCGGCGAUGUCGACGGGUCGAGUGAGGCAAAGGCAGGCGGACGUCAAGGGCGUCAUGUGGUCUUAGUAAGCGUGCUGCGUGGGCGCUUGAUGCAAUGCAUGGCUCGUCCAUGCUAUGCCGUUGGGCGUCUACAAAAAUGUGCUAGCGACGUUUGUGGGGCGGCUGAGGCGAAGAAUGGCGAACGUCAAGGGUGUCCUGUGGGCUUAGUAGGCGCGCUGCGUGGGCGCUAGAUGGAAUGCAUGCUCGUCCAUGCUACGCCGUUCAGCGUUUACAAAACCAAGACCGCGACGUCUGCGGGGCAUUUGAGGCGGUGGCAGGCGGAUGUCAUGGGCGUCUUGUGGGCUUAGUAGGUGUGCUGCGCGGGCGCUUGACGGCAUGCAUGGUUUGUCCGUGCUACACCAUUGUGCAUCAACCAAAACAUGCCAGCGACGUCUGCGGGGCAACUGAGGCGAAAGCAGGCAGACAUCAAAGGCGUCAUGUGGGCUUAGUAGGCGUGUUGCGUGGGUGCUUGAUUGCAUGCAUGGCUCGUCCGUGCUACGCCGCUGGGCGCUUGCAAACACAUGCCGACGACGUCUACGGGGCGACUGAGGCGUUACAAGGCGGACGUCACGGGCGUCCUAUGGGCUUAGUAGGCGUGUUUCGUGGGCGCUUGACGACAUGCAUGGCUCGUCCGUGCUAUGCCUUUGGGUGCUUACAAAGUGGACGUCAGGGUGUCCUGUGGGCUUAGUAGGCGUGUUGCGUGGGCGCUUGACGACAUGCAUGGUUCGUCCAUGCUACGCCGCUGGGCACUUGCAAACACAUGCCGACGAUGUCUGCGGGGCGACUGAGGCGUUACAAGGCGGACGUCACGGGCGUCCUGUGGGCUUAGUAGGCGUGUUGCGUGGGCGCUUGAAGACAUGCAUGGCUCGUCCGUGCUAUGCCUUUGGGCGCUUACAAAAACAUGCCAGCGACGUUUGCGGGGUGACCAUGCGCCGCCGAGGGAACUUCUUAAGAUUGGUUUAUAAUGGCGUUUGGUGUGGAAACGGAAGUGCUUUUGGUGAGUGGCGAGUUCUUGAGCUCAUGUUACGGCUAACUCUACGCGCCACAUGCACAGCGCACGUAAGGCCAUGUAUGGAUAGGGGCCUAUCCGGAGAUGUCGGUGGGAGCCUCGGGAAGAGUUAUCUUUUCUAUUUAACAGCCUACCCACCCUGCAAUCGGCUCAGCCUGAGGUAGGGUCCAGCGGCUCGAAGAGCACCGCACAUCGCGUGGUGUCCAAUACUCUCACGGCGGCCCUUGAAAAUCCGGAGGACCGAAUGUCGUCCAUGCCCGGUCGUACUCAUAACCGCAUCAGGUCUCCAAGGUGAACAACCUCUGGUCGAUGGAACAAUGUAGGCAAGGGAAGUUGGCAAAAUGGAUCCGUAACUUUGGGAAAAGGAUUGGCUCUGAGGGCUGUGCAUGGGGGUCCAAGUCCUGAACCCGUCGGCUCUCGGUGGACUGCUCGAGCUGCUCCCACGGCGAGAGCGUGUCGCCGCAUGCCGAACGGGGGAAGGACAUGGAGCGGUUCCUUCAGGGGCCUUCCUCGGGCGUCGAACAACCAACUCAGAACUGGUACGGACAAGGGGAAUCCGACUGUUUAAUUUAAACAAAGCAUUGCGAUGGUCCCAACGGAUGUUUACGCAAUGUGAUUUCUGCACAGUGCUCUGAAUGUCAAAGUGAAGAAAUUCAACCAAGUGCGGGUAAACGGCGGGAGUAACUAUUACUCUCUUAAGGUAUCCAAAUGCCUCGUAAUCUAAUUAGUGACGCGCAUGAAUGGAUUAACGAGAUUCCCACUGUCCCUGUCUACUAUCAAGCGAAACCACAGCCAAGGGAACGGGCUUGGCAGAAUCAGCGGGGAAAGAAGACCCUGUUGAGCUUGACUCUAGUCCGACUUUAUCAAAUGACUUGAGAGGUGUAAUAUAAGUAGGAGUCGAAAGGCGAAAGUGAAAUACCACUACUUUUAACGUUAUUUUACUUAUUCCGUGAAUUGGAAGUGGGGCACUGCCUUCUUUUUGGACCAAAGGCUCGCUUGGCGGGACGAUCCGGGAGGAAGACAUUGUCAGGUGGGGAGUUUAUCUUGGGCGCCACAUCUUUUAAAAGAUAACACAGGUGUCCUAAGAUGAGCUCAACGAGAACAAAAAUCUUUUGUGGUAAAGAAGGGUAAAAGCUCGUUUGAUUCUGAUUUCCAUUACGAAUACGAACCGUGAAAGCAUGGCCUAACGAUCCUUUAGACCUUCGGAAUUCAAAGCUAGAAGUGUCAGAAAAGUUACCACUGGGAUAACUGUCUUGUGGCAGCAAAGCAUUCAUAUCGACAUUGCUUUUUGAUCCUUCGAUGUCGGAUCUUCCUAUCAUUGUGAAGCAGAAUUCACCAAGUGUUGGAUUGUUCACUCACCAAUAGGGAACAUGAGCUGGGUUUAGACCGUCGUGAGACAUGUGAGUUUUACCCUACUAAUGAUAGUGUCGCAAUAGUAAUUCAACCUAGUACGAGAGGAACCGUUGAUUCACACAAUUGGCCAUCGCGCUUGGUUGAAAAGCCAAUGGUGCGAAGCUACCGUGUGCGAGAUUAUGACUGAACGCCUCUAAGUCAGAAUCCGGGCUAGAAGCGACGCAUGCACCCGCCGUCCGCUUGCCGAACCGCAAUAGGGGCCUAUGUCCCCCAAGGGCACGAAUCGUUGGCUAAGUCGCUGCGAUGGAAGCGUCGCGGUGACAGACGGUCGAACAACGUCGGGCGUGGCAUGCCAUCACCGCCCUUGGACAGCACACACGGUCGGCUGACGUCGGGCGUGGCAUGCCAUCACCGUCCUUGGACAGCACACACUGUAGUACGAUGUCGGGCAUGGCAUGACCUCACUGCCCUUGGGUAGCACACACGGUUGGACUACGUCGGGCGUGGCAUGACAUCACCGCCUUUGGAUAGCACAGACGAUCGAACGACGUCCAGCGUGGCAUGCCAUCAUCGCCUUUGGGUUGCACACACGAUCGAAUGACGUCGGGCGUGGCAUGCCAUCAUAUCCCUUAGACGGCUAACACGGUCGAACGACGUCAGGCAUGAAAUGCCAUUACCGCCUUUGGACAGCACACACGGUCGAAUGUCGUCGGGCGUGGCAUGCCAUCAUCGCCUUUGGGCAGCACAACACAGUCGAACGAUGUUAAGCGUGGCAUGACAUCACCGCCUUUGGACAGCGCACACGGUGGAACGACGUCGGGCGUGACAUGCCAUCACCGCCUUUGGACAGCACACACGGUGGAACAACGUAGGGCGUGGCAUGCCAUCAUCGCCUUUGAGCAGCACAAACGGUCGAACGACGUCGGGCGUGGCAUGAAAUCACCGCCCUAGGAAAGCAUGCACGAUUGGACGAUAUCGGGCGUGGCAUGACAUCAACCCCCUUGGACAGCACACACGGUCGAACGACGUUAGGCGUGGCAUGACAUCACAGCCCUUAGAGGACACGCACACUUGAACGACGUCAGGUGUGGCAUGUCAUCACCACCCUUUGACAGCACACACAAUCAGCAACGUCGGGCAUGGAAUGACAUCACCGCCCUUGGACAGCACACACGGUCGGACGACAUCGGGCAUGGCAUGACAUCUCCGCCCUUGGGCAGCACACACGGUCAAACUACGUCGGGCGUGGCAUGACAUCACCGCGUUAGGGCAGCACACAUGGUUGAACGACGUCGGGCGUGGCAUUACAUCAUAGCCCAUGGACGGCAAACAUGGUCGAACGACGUCGGGCGUGGAAUGCCAUCAUCGCCUUUGGGCAGCACACACGGUUGAACGACGUCGGGCGUGGCAUGUCGUCAUGGCCCUUGGACACCACACACGGUCGAACGAAGUCGGGCAUGGUAUGCCAUCAUAGCCCUUGAACGGAAAACAAGGUUGAACGACGUCGGGCGUGGCAUGCCAUCAUCGCCUUUGGACUAGCUGACACAUUCGGACGACGUCAGGCGUGGCAUGCCAACAUUGCCCUUGGACAGGAAACACGGUCGAACGACGUAGAGCGUGGCUUGCAUCAACGCCUACGGACAGCACACACGGAAGGACGACGUUGGGCGUGUCAUGCUAUCAUCGCCUUUGGGCAGCACAGACGGUCGGACAACGUCGGGCGUAACAUGCCAUCACCGCCCUUGGACAACACACAUGGUCGGAUGACGUUAGACGUGGCAUGCCAUCACCGCCCUUGGACAGCACACACGGUAGGACUACGUCGGGCGUGGCAUGAUAUCACCACCUUUAAACAGCACACAUGGUCGAACGACGUUGGGUGUGGCAUGCCAUCAUCGCCUUUGGGCCGCACAUACGGUUGAAAGACGUCGGGUGUGGCAUGACAUCACCGCCUUUGGAUAGAACACACGGUCAAACAACGUCAGGCGUGAAAUGCCAUCACCGCCUUUGGACAACACACACAGUCGAACGAUGUCAUGUGUGGCAUGCCAUCAUCACCUUUGGCAACACACACAGUCUAACAACGUCGGGCGUGGCAUGCCAUCAUCGCCUUUGGGCAGCACAAAUGGUCGACGACGUCAGGCGUGGCAUGCCAUCAUGCCUUUGGGCAGUACACAUGGUCGAACGACAUCGGGCGUGGCAUGCCAUCAUAGCCCAUGGACUGCAAAAACGGUCGAACGAUGUCAGGUGUGACAUACCAUCACCACCUUUGGACAACACAUACGGUCGAUUGACCUUGGGUAGGGCAUGCCAUCAUCGCCUUUGGGCAGCACACACGGUCGAAAGACGUCGAGCGUGGCAUGACAUCUCACGCCUUUGGACAGCACACUGUCACGACCCGCCAGAUACCCAGGCAGAUCGCGACCCGUCUAGGCAGCCAGCAACCUCUGCAAGGGGGACAGACCGCCUAAAACGGCCAGCAGGCAAAUGGGCAGGCGUCCAAGCAGGCAGCAGAAACAGGGUCAGGCGUUUCAGCCGUUACAGGCAGUUUCAACAGUUACAGCCGUUUCAUCAGUUACGGCCGUUUCAGCAGUUAUAGCAUGUGGGGAGGCGGCAGGUUCCAGCCUUGGAGGGGCUUGUGCAGGGCCUCUGGAACGUGGGGCAGACUAGGGAGCAGCUAGGAGUCCCUUUUUGGAAGACUUAGAAGCAUGUAUUGUGGGCAUGGACUUAGGGGCUUGUAUAUAGUAUAGUAUUUAUUUACUCUUAGUGUUUAGAGUAGUAUAAAUAGAUAGUCAUUGUAUUUGUAAUACAUCCACCAACAUUUGAAUACAAGUCUUUUCUUCCAAAACAGUCUUUUGUCUUUCCUUCUAUUUCUCUUAGCGAUCCAAAGUAGUGAAAGGCUUACUUGAGUUUGUGAGAUCGUGAAAGAAUUGUGAGCAAACCGUCAAGUGCCGCACGGAGUAUUGUCCGAAUUGAAAAGUCAGUGACAAUUGGUAUCAGAGCAGGUUCAUCGUAAGAGAAUGACGAACGAAGGAUACGGCGCUAGCAGCACCCCCAACGUCCACACUGAUGGUGGCAAGAAGAACAAGAAAGGGAAGAAGUAGCAGACGGGUAAUGAACCCAAUCUGCCCAGUCUUCCACCAAGUGUUCCUCCACCAAGUGUUCCUACCCCAAGCGAAGGGCAAACGUCUCUCCCUCCCCAGAUUGUCGAUGGAAGUGACGAAGACACCGGCGAGGAGUCCGUGGACAUUACUGUCGGAUCGGAGUGGAUUGCAAGGGUCGAAAUGGCGAGGCAAGCCGUAGAGAUCAUAUGCCAGUGCUUGAACAGAACUGACAGAAAUCUCAAAACUCUUGAAGAGUACUCCCUUGAGGAAGUUGAGAGCGUCCGGAAGGAGUUGGAGGCACGCCAGCGAGCCGAGUACGAGACAAAAGAGGCCAUUACUUUCUUAGAGUUCAGGCUUAGGGAAGCACUUGGCGCAAUUGAGUCGCUUAAGGCCGAAGUGCCAGCACUCCAGGAGGAUAGAGAGGUUGGUGGAUCCUCAUCACGUUACCGGGAAAGGGAAGCCAGAGUUGAGGCACCCAAGCCACCUGUCUUCAAAGGCGUCCGUGACGCGCAAGACGUGGAUAAUUUCCUUUGGCACUUGGAAAACUACUUCAAGUGUAUGAGGGUUCGUAGUGAUGUGAACAAGAUCAACACAGCUGUGUUGUAUAUUUCGGAGUCUGCCAUGCUAUGGUGGAAGCAUAAAGAGUCUGACAUCGCAAAGGGGACAUGCGUGUUGAACACAUGGGAGCAGUUUCGUGUGGAGUUCAAGAAGGCGUUAUUCCCUAGCAACGUUGUGUAUGAGGCAAAGCGGAAGAUGCGGGAGUUGAGACAGAAUGGCAGCAUACGCGCGUAUGUGCGGGAGUUUACCACCCUUACAUUUCAGAUUCCCAACCUCAGGGACGAUGACGCAUUGUUCUACUUCAUGGAUGGGCUGCAAAAUUGGGCCAGAAGGGAGUUGGAACGACGGCAAGUCAGGACUAUAGAUAACACCAUCACACAGGCUGAAGCCUUGACAGACAUCAGGCAGGAGAAGUCUUUUAGUGCCGAUGAGGACGAUGAGGUAGGCAGUCAUGAUGAUAGUGGGGAAGACAGUGGCGAAGGAAAAGAGCAAAGGCCACAACCUAAGAGGCGUGACACCUACGGGUCCAGCGGCAAGAAGCCCAGAGAUUGUGGCAACACGGUAAGGGAUUCCAAGGAUGGUUGCUUCAUAUGCAAAGGGCUGCAUGGUUACAAAAGAUGCCCUGAACUGAAAAGUCUUGGUGCUAUCAUUCAUGAGCGGAAGGAAGAGAAAGCCCAAGAGGAAGUCGGGGAGACUAAGCAGUUGGGCGUUGUAAGCCCAUGCGGAGCUGUGAUUGAGCAACCAUCGACGAGGCCAAGUCAAGAUAAGCCAAGGCAAGCAGAGCCGAACCAUGCUGAGAAGAGACUUGCGAAGUCUAAGGCGUGGGCUCAAACAGUCGACGCCCAAAUCAGAACUGUUAACGCUUCACCGACUCCUAUAGUUUGAGUUGCGCACGGGGUGCACAUCAUGGUAGGCGAUUGGCAAGGGAAAACCAAGUUCAUCGUCGCCCCCAUCAAUAUGUUUAAUGUUAUUCUUGGGAAGAAGUUCUUCCAGCAGUGCCAUAAAGUAAUCGAUCCUCAUCUCCAAAAAUUGACAAUCAUGGAGAAAGGAAGGGAAUAUGCAAUUCCCAUGGUGAAGGCGCAGGCAACGGAGGGACAGGCUAGACUGACAGCCAUGAAGCUCGAGAGGGUCGACGUGAAAAGAAAGUUAACACUAGCAGCGACCAUUGCAAGUUCGAGAGAAGACAAUGGUGCUGGAAAGACCUUGCCACCGCGCAGGAAGAGGGUUUCGAGUAGGAACGCUGACGUGAUGAAGAAGCCAUCGGAGAACUUGCCUCCGUUGAAGGAGGAAGUUUGGAAGAUCGGUUCGAGAAAGGUCAGGACAUCGACGAAGAGGCGUCUCGAAGGGAAUGAUUGAGUACGCGAGUUGAUGGUCGCCCGGCAGAACUCAACGCCGAUACGGAUGCAAUGCGACGCGGUCGUCGCAUCAUCAGGUGGGGGAGUUUGUCACGACCCGCCAGAUACCCAGGUAGAUCGCGACCCGUCUAGGCAGCCAGCAGCCUGUGCAAGGGGGACAGACAACCCAAAAUGGCUAGCAGGCAAAGGGGCAGGCGUCCAAGUAGGCAGCAGACAGAGGGUCAGGCAUUUCUGCCAUUACAGGAAGUUUCAGCAGUUACAACAGUUUCAUCAGUUACGGCAGUUUCAGCAGUUACAGCAUGUGGGGAGGCGGCAGGUUCCAGCCUUGGAGGGGCUUGUGCUGGGCCUCUGGAACGUGGGGCAGACUAGGGAGCAGCUAGGAGUCCCUUUUUGGAAGACUUAGAAGCAUGUCUUGUGGGCAUGGACAUAGGGACUUGUAUAUAGUAUAGUAUUUAUUUACUAUUAGUGUUUAGAGUAGUAUAAAUAGGUAGUCAUUGUAUUUGUAAUACAUCCACCAACAUUUGAAUACAAGUCUUUUCUUCCAAAACAGUCUUUUGUCUUUCCUUCUAUUUCUCUUAGCGAUCCAAAGUAGUGAAAGGCUUACUUGAGUUUGUGAGAUCGUGAUAGAAUCGUGAGCAAACCGUCAUGUGCCGCACGGAGUAUUGUCCGAAUUGAAAAGUCCGUGACAACACACUGUCAAACGACGUCAGGAGUGACAUGCCAUCAUCGCCUUUUGAAAGCACACAUGGUCGAACAACGUCAGGCGUGGCAUGCCAUCACCGCCCUUGGACAGCACACACGGUCCAACAAUGUCGGGCGUGGCAUGACAUCACCACCCUUGGUCUGCACACAUGGUCGGACGACGUUGGGCGUGGCAUGACAUCAACGCCCUUCGACAGCAUACACGGUCAAAAAACAUCGGGCGUGGCAUGACAUCACUGCCCUUGGGCAGCACACACGGUCAGACUACGUCGGGCGUGGCAUGCAAUCAUCGUGUUGGGCAGCACACACGGUCGAACGACGUCGGGCAUGGCAUGACAUCAUCGCGUUGAGGCAGCACACACGGUCGAACGAUGUCUAGCGUGGCAUACUAUCAUCGCCUUAAGGCAGCACAAACGGUCAAACGACGUCAAGCGUGGCAUGACAUCACCGCCCUUGGACUGCACGCACGGUCGGCAACGUCGGGCGUGGCAUGACAUCACCGCCCUUGGACAGGACACACGAUCGAUAACGUCGGGCGUGGUAUGGCAUCACCGCCCUUGAAAAAACACACAGUCGGCAACGUCGGGCGUGGCAUGCCAUCACCGCCCUUGGGCAGCACACACCAUCGGCAACAUCGGGCGUGGCAUGACAUUACCGCCCUUGGACAGCACACACGGUCGGCAACGUCCGGCGUGGCAUGACAUCACUGCCCUUGGACAGCACACACAAUCGGCAACAUCGGGUGUGGCAUGCCAUCAUCGACUUUGGGCAGCACACAUGAUCGAACGACGUCGGGCUUGGCAUGCCAUCAUCGCCUUUGGGAAGAAAAAACGGUCAAACGACGUCGGGUGUGGCAUCCCAUCAUCGCCUUUGGACUAGCUCACACAGUCGGAUGACGUCGGGCUUGGCAUACCAUCAUCUUCCUUUGACGGCAAACACGGUUAAACGACUUCGGGCGUGGCAUGCCAUCAUUGCCUUUGGGCAGCUCACACGGUCGAACGACGUCGGGCAUGGUAUGACAUCACCGUCUUUGGAUAGCACACACGGUCGAAUGACAUCGGUCGUGGCAUGUCAUUAUCGCCUUUGUACAGCACAUACGGUCGAACGACGUCGGGCAAGGCAUGCCAUCAGAGCCCUUGGACAGCACACACGAUCGAACGACGUCGGGUGUGGCAUUCCAUCAUGGACCUUCGACAACACACACGAUCAAACGACGUCGGGCGUGGCAUGCCAUCAUAGCCCUUGGACGGCGAAUAGGGUCGAACGACGUUGGGCGUGGCAUGCCAUCAUCGCUUUUAAACUAGCUGACACAGUCGGACGAUGUCGGUCGUGGCAUGCAAUCAUCUCCCAUGGACAGAAAAAAUGGUCGAACGACGUCGGUGGUGGCAUGCUAUCACCUCCUUUGGACAGCACACACAGUCGGACGACGUCGGGCAUGGCAUCCAUCAUCUCCUUUGGGCAGCACAGACGGUCGGACGGCUUCGGGCGUGGCAUGCCAUCAUCGCCCUUGGAUAGCACAAACUGUCAUUCAUCGUCGGGCGUGGUAUGCCAUCAUAGCCCUUGGACAACACACACGGUCGGCAACGUCGUGCGUGGCAUAGCAUCACCGCCCUUGGAAAGAACACAUCCAGCAAUUUCGGGCGUGGCAUGACAUCACCGCCCUUGGACAACACACACGGUCGUUAACGUCGAGCGUGGCAUGACAUCACCGCCCUUGGACAGCACACACGGUCAAACGACGUCGGGAGUGGCUUGACAUCACCGCCCUUGGAAAGAACACACGGUCGAACUAUGUCGGGCGUGGCAUGACAUCACUGCCCUUGGACUGCACGCACGGUCGGAUGACAUCGGGCGUGGCAUGAUAUCACUGCCCUUAGAAUGUACACACGGUCAGACUUCGUCGGGCGUGACAUGAUAUCACCGCCUUUCGACAGCACACACGGUGGAACGACGUCGGGCAUGGCAUGCCAUCAUCGCCUUUGGGCAGCAUACACGACCGAACGACGUCAGGCGUGGCAUGCCAUCAUGGACCUUGGUCAACACACACGGUUGAACGACGUCGACCGUAGCAUGCCAUCAUAGCCCUUGGAUGGCAAACAGGGUCGAACGACGUGAGGCGUAGCAUGCCAUCAUCACUUUUAAAUCAGCUGAUACAGUCAGACGGCGUCAGGCGUGGCAUGCCAUCAUCUCCCUAGGACGGCAAACACAUUCGAACAACGUCGAGGGUUGCAUGCCAUAACCGCCUUUGGACAGCACACACAGUCGGACGACGUCGGGCGUGGCAUGCCGUCAUCUCAUUUGGACAGCACAGACUGUCAGACAGCGUCAGGCGUGGCAUUCCAUCAUCGCCCUUGAACAGCACAAACGGUCGACUGUCGUCGAGCGUGGAAUGCCAUCAUAGCCCUUGGAAAGCACACACGGUCGGCAACGUCGGGCAAGGCAUUAAAUCACCGCCCUUGGACAGUACACACGGUCAAACGACGUCCAGCAUGGCAAAACAUCACCGCCCUUGGACUGCACGCACGAUCGGACGACGUUGGGCGUGGCAUGACAUCACCGCCCUUGGACAGCACACAGCCGGCAACGUCGGGCGUGGCAUGACAUCACCACCCAUGGACAACACACACGGUCGUCAACGUCGGACGUGGCAUGACAUCACCGCCCUUGGACAGAACACACGGUCGGACGACGUCGGGCGUGGCAUGACAUCACCGCCCUUGAACAGCAUACACGGUUGAACGAUGUCGAGCGUGGAAUGACAUCACAUCCCUUAGACUUCAUGCACGAUCGGAUGACAUUGGGCGUGGCGUGACAUCACCGCCCUUGGAUAGCACACAACCGGCAACGUCGGGCGUGGCAUGACAUAACUACCCUUGGACAACACACACGUUCGUCAACUUCGGGCGUGGCAUGACAUCACCGCCCUUGGACAGCACACACGGUCGGAUGAGGUCGGGCAUGGCAUGAGAUCACCGCCCUUGAACAGCACACACGAUCGAACGAUGUCGAGCGUGGAAUGACAUCACCGCCCUUGGACAACACACACAGUCGGACGACGUCGGGCGUGGCAUGCCAUCAUCUCCUUUUGGCAGCACAGACGGUCGGACGGCUUCAGGUGUGGCAUGCCAUCAUCGCCCUUAGACAGCACAAACUAUCGGCCGUCGUCGGGCGUGAACAACACAAACUAUCGGCAGUCGACGAGCAUGACAUUACAUCACCGCCCUUGGACAGCACACACGAUCGAACGACGUCUGCCAUGGCAUGACAUCACCGCCCUUGGACUGCACACACGAUCAGACGAAUUCGGGCGUGGCUUGACAUCAACACCCAUGGAAAGCACACAGCCGAUAACGUCGAGCGUGGCAUGACAUUACCGCUCUUAGACAACACACACGGUCGUUAAUGUCAGGCGUGGCAUGACAUCACCACCCUUGGACAGCACACACAAUCGGACGACUUUGGGCGUGGCUUGACAUUACCGCCCUUGGACAUAACACACGGUCGAACAAUGUCGAGCGUGGCAUGACAUCACCGCCCUAGGACUGCACGUACGGUCAGACGACGUCGGGCGUGGCAUGACAUCACUGCCCUUGGACAGCACAGACGGUCGGACUUCGUCGGGCGUGGCAUGACAUCACUGCCUUUGGACAACACACACGUUCGACCUACGUCGGGCGUGGCACGCCAUCAUCGCCUUUGGGCAGCACACACAAUCGAACGACGUUGGGCGUGGCAUGACAUCACCGCCUUUGGACAGCACACACAGUGGAACGACGUCGAGCGUGACAUGCCAUCACCGCCUUUGUACAGCACACACGGUAGAAUGACGUCAGGCGUGACAUGACAUCACUGACUUUAGACAACACACACGGUGGAACGACGUCAGGCGUGGCAUGCCAUCAUCGCCUUUGGACGGCAAACACGGUCGACAACGUAGAGCGUGGCAUGCCAUCAACGCCUAGGGACAGCACACACGGAAGGACGAAGUUGUGCGUGUCAUGCUAUCAUCGCCUUUCGGCAGCACAGACAGUCAGACGAUGUCGGGCGUGGCAUGCCAUCACCGCCCUUGGACAGCACACAUGUUCGGAUGACGUUGUGCGUGGCAUGCCAUCACCGCCCUUGGACAGCACAUACGGUAGGACUACGUCGGGCGUGGCAUGACAUCACCGCCUUUGGACAACACACGCGGUCGAACGACGUCGGCCGUGGCAUGCCAUCAUCGCCUUUGGGCAGCACAAACGGUUGAACGACGUCGGGCGUGGCAUGCCAUCGUAGCCUAUGGACGACAAACACAGUCGAACGACGUCAAGUGUGACAUGCCAUCACCGCCUUUGGACAGCACACACGGUCGAAUGACAUCAGGUAGGGCAUGCCAUCAUCGCCUUUGGACCGCACAUACGGUCGAAAGAUGUCGGGCGUGGCAUGAAAUCACCGCCUUUGGACAGCACACACGGUCAAACGACGUCGGGCGUGACAUGCCAUCACCGCCUUUGGACAGCACACACGGUUGAAUGACGUCGGGCGUGUAAUGCCAUCAUCUCCUUUGGGCAGCACACACGGUCGAACUACGUCGGGCGUGGCAAGCCAUAAUCGCCUUUGGGCAGCACAAACGCUCGAACGACGUCGAGCGUGGCAUUCGAUCAUCACCUUUGGGCAGCACACACGGUCGAACGACGUCGGGCGUGGCAUGCCAGCAUCGCCUUAAGGCAGCACACAUAAUCGAAAGAAAUCGGGUGUGGCAUGACAUCACCGCCUUUGGCAGCACACAUGGUUGAACGACGUCGGGCUUGACAUGCUAUCACGUCCUUUGGACAGCACACACGGUCGAACAACGCUGGGCAUGUCAUGCCAUCAUCACCUUUGGGCAGCACAAACGGUCAGACAGCGUCGUGCUUGGCAUUCCAUCGUCGACCUUGGAUGACAAACUAGUCGAACGACGUCAGGCGUGGAAUGCCAUCAUCUCCUUUGGGCAGUACGCACGGUCGACAUCGUCGGGCGUGACAUGCCAUCAUGGCCCUUGGACACCACACACAAUCGAACGAAGUCGGUCGUUGCAUGCCAUCAUAGCCCUUGAACGGCAAACAAGGGUGAAUGAUGUCGGGCGUGGCAUGUCAUCAUCACCCUUGGACUAGCUGGCACCAUCGGACUGCGUCAGGCGUGGCAUGCCAUCAUCGCCCUAGGACAAGAAACACGGUAGAACGACGUAGAGCGUGGAAUGCUAUCAACGCCUUAGGACAGCACAAACGAAAGGAUGACGUCGGGCGUGGCAUGUCAUCACUGCCCUUGGACAGCACACACGGUGGGAUGACGUCGGGCGUGGCAUGAGAUCACCGCUCUUGGACUGCACGCAUGGUCGGACUACGUCGGGCGUUGCAUGACAUCACCAACUUUGGACAGCACACACGGUCGAACGAUGCGUGGCAUGGCGUGACAUCACCGCCCUUAAACUGCACACACGGUCAGACGACAUCGGGCGUGGCAUGACAUCACCGCCUUUGGACAGCACACACGGUCGGCAACGUCGGGCGUGGCAUGACAUCUCCGCUCUUGGACAGCACGCAUGGUCGGACGACAUCGGACAUGGCAUGUCAUCACCGCCCUUGGGCAGCACAAACGGUCGGACUACGUCGGGCGUGGCAUGACAUCACCUCCUUUGGACAGCACACACGAUCGAACGACGUCGUGCGUGGCAUGCCAUCAUCGCCUUUGGGCAGCACACACGGUCAAAUAACGUCGGGCGUGGAAUACCAUCAUAGCCCAUAGAUGGCAAACACGGUCGAACGACGUCGGGCGUGGAAUUCCAUCAUCGCCUUUGGGCAGCACACACGGUCGAACGACAUCGGGCAUGGCAUGACAUCACCACCUUUGGACAGCACACACGGUAGAACGACGUCAGGCGUGACAUGACAUCACCGACUUUAGACAACACACGGGAUGGAACGACGUCAGGCGUGGCAUGCCAUCAUCGCCUUUGGAGUAGCUGACACAGUCGGACGGCGUCGGCCGUGGCAUGCCAUCAUCGCCCUUGGACGGGAAACACGGUCGAUAACGUAGAGCGUGGCAUGCCAUCAUCACCCUUGGACUAGCUGACACCAUCGGACUGCGUCGGGCGUGGCAUGCCAUCAUCGCCCUUGGACGAGAAACACGGUAGAACGACGUAGAGCGUGGAAUGUUAUCAACGCCUUGGGACAACACAAACGAAAGGAUGACGUCCUGCGUGGCAUGCCAUCACUGCCCUUGGAAAGUAUGCACAGUGGGACGACGUCGGGCGUGGCAUGAGAUCACCACUCUUGGACUGCACACAUGGUCAGACUACGUCGGGCGUUGCAUGACAUCACAAACUUUGGACAGCACACACGGUCCAAUGACGCAUGGAAUGACAUGACAUCACCGCCCUUAACCUGCACGCACGGUCAGACGACAUCGGGCGUGGCAUGACAUCACCGCCUUUGGACAGCACACACGGUCAGCAACGUCGGGCAUGGCAUGACAUCUCCGCUCUUGGACAGCACGCAUGGUCGGACGACAUCGGACAUGGCAUGUCAUCACCGCCCUUGGGCAGCACACACGGUCGGACUACGUCGGGCGUGGCAUGACAUCACCUCCUUUGGACAGCACACACGGUCGAACGAUGUCGUGCGUGGCAUGCCAUCAUCGCCUUUGGGCAUCACACACGGUCGAAUGACAUCGGGCGUGGCAUACCAUCAUAGCCCAUAGAUGGCAAACACGGUCGAACGACGUCGCGCGUGGAAUUCCAUCAUCGCCUUUGGGCAGCAAACACGGUCGAACGACGUCGGGCAUGGCAUGCCGUCAUGGCCCUUGGACACCACACACGGUCGAACGAAGUCGGGUGUGGCAUGCCAUCAUAGCCCUUGAACGACAAACAAGGUUGAACGACGUCAGGCGUGGCAUGACAUCAUCGCCUUUGGACUAGCUGACACACUCAGACGGCGUUGGGUGUGGCAUGCCAUCAUUGCUCUUGGACGGGAAACAUGGUCGAACGACGUAGAGAGUGGCAUGCCAUCAACACCUUGGGACAGCACACACGAAAGAACGACGUCGGGCGUGGCAUGACAACAUCACCUUUGGGCAGCACACACGGUUGAACUACGUCGAGCGUGGCAUGCCAUCAUCGCCUUUGGGCAGCACAAAACAGUCGAACAACGUCAGGCGUGGCAUGCCAUCAUCACCUUUGGGCAGCACACACGGUCGAAUGACGUUGGGCGUGGCAUGUCAUAAUCGCCUUAAGGCAGCACACACAGUCGAAAGACGUCGGGCGUGGCAUGAUAUCACUGCCUUUGAACAGCACACACGGUCGAACGACAUCGGGCGUGACAUGCCAUCACUGCCAUAGGACAGCACACGAUCGGACGACGUCGGGCAUCGCAUGACAUCACCGCCCUUGGGCAGCACAUACAGUCGAAUGACGUCGAGCGUGGAAUGCUAUCAUCGCCUUUGGACAGCACACACGGUCAAACGACGUCGAGCGUGGCAUUCCAUUAUCGCCUUUAGGCAGCACACACGGUCGAACUACGUCGGGCAUGGCAUGCCAUCAUCGCCUUUGGGAAAGCACAAACAGUUGAACGACGUCGGAAGUUGCAUGCCAACAUCACCUUUGGGAAGCACACACGGUCAAAUGAUGUCGGGCGUAGCAUGCCAGCAUUGCCUUUGUGCAGCACACGGUCGAAAGAUGUCGGGUGUGGCAUGACAUCACCUCCUUUAAACAGCGCACACGGUCGAAUGACGUCGAGCGUGACAUGCAAUCACCGCCAUUAGAAAGCACACACGGUUGAACGACGUCGGGCGUGGCAUGCCAUCAUCACCUUUGGGCAGCACAAACGGUCGAACGACGUCGGGCGUGGCAUGCCAUCUUGCCUUUGGGAAGCACACACGGUCGAAUGACGUCGGGCGUGGCAUGACAUCACCGCCCUUGGAUGGCACAAAUGGUCAAACGACGUCGGGCGUGGCAUGACAUCACCACCCUUGGGCAACACACACGGUUGGACUAUGUCAGGCAUGGCAUGACAUCACUGCCUUUGUACAACACACACGGUCGAACGACGUCGGGCGUGGCAUGCCAUCAUCACCUUUGGGCAGCACACACGAUCGAAUGACGUCUGGUGGGGCAUGCCAUAAUAGCCCAUGGACGGCAAACACGGUCGAACGACAUCAGGCGUGACAUGCCAUCACCGCCUUUGGACAACACACACGGUCGAACGACGUCGGCGUGGCAUGCCAUCUUGCCUUUGGGAAGCACACACGAUCGAAAGACGUCGGGCGUGGUAUGACAUCAUCGCCUUUGGGCAGCACACACGGUCAAACGACGUCGGGCGUGACAUGCCAUCACCGCCUUUAGACAGCACACAAGGAAGGACGACAUCCGGCGUGGCAAGCUAUCAUCUCUUUUGGGCAGCCCAAACAGUUGGACGACAUCCUGCGUGGCAUGCAAGCACCGCCCUUGGACAGCACACAUGGUCGGAUGACGUCGAGCGUGGCAUGCCAUCACUGCCCUUGAACAGCACACAAGGUAGGACGACGUCGGCCGUGGUAUGAGAUCACCGCGCUUGGACUGCAUGCAUGGUCGUACUACGUCGGGCGUGGCAUGACAUCACCACCUUUGGAUAGAACACACGGUAGAACGACGCGUGGCAUGGCAUGACAUCAUCGCCGUUGAACUGCACGCACGGUCAGAAGACAUCAAGCCUGGCAUGAUAUCACCGCCUUUGGACAGCACACAAAGUUUGCAACGUCGUGCGUGGCAUGACAUCGCCGCUAUUGGACAGCACGCAUGGUCGGACGACAUCGGGCAUGGCAUGACAUCACCGCCCUUGGGCAGCACAAACGGUCGAACGACAUCAGGUGUGGCAUGCAAUUAUCACCUUUGGGCAGCACACACGGUCGAAUGACGUCGGCAUGGCAUGCCAUCAUAGCCCAUAGACGGCAAACACGGUCGAACGACAUCGGGCGUGGAAUGCCAUCAUCGCCUUUGAGCAGCACACACGAUCGAACGAUGUUGGGCGUGGCAGGCCGUCAUGGCCCUUGAACGGAAAAAAUUAUUGAACGACGUCAGGCGUGGCAUGCCAUCAUCGCCUUAAGACUAGCUGACAUAGUCGGACGACAUCACGCGUGGCAUGCCAUCAUCGCCCUUGGACGGGAAACACGGUCGAACGACUUUGAGCGUGACAUGCCAUCAAUGCCUUGGGACAGCAAACACGGAAGAACGACAUCGGGCGUGGCAUUCUAUCAUCGCCUUUGGGCAACACAAACGGUCGGACGACGUCAGGCGUGGCAUGCCAUCACCGCCCUUGGAUAUCACACAUGGUCGGAUUACGUCGGGCAUGGCAUGAUAUCACCGCCUUUGGGCAGCACACACGGUCGAACAACGUCGGGCGUGGCAUUACAUCAUAGCCCAUGGACGGCAAACAUGGUCGAACGACGUCGGGCGUGGAAUGCCAUCAUCGCCUUUGGGAAGCACACACGGUUGAACGACGUCGGGCGUGGCAUGCCGUCAUGGCCCUUGGACACCAUCAUAGCCCUUGAACGGAAAACAAGGUUGAACGACGUCGGGUGUGGCAUGCCAUCAUCGCCUUUUGACUAGCUGACACAGUCGGACGACGUCGGGCGUGACAUGCCAACAUCGCCCUUGGACGGGAAACACGGUCGAACGACGUAGAGCAUGGCUUGCAUCAACGCCUAGGGACAACACACACGAAAGGACGACAUCGGGCAUGGAAUGCCAUCAUCGCCUUUGGGCAGCACACACGGUCGAACAACGUCGGGCGAGGCAUGCCGUCAUGGCCCUUAGACACCACACAUUGUCGAACGAAGUCAAGCGUGGCAUGCCAUCAUAGCCCUUGAACGACAAACAAGUUUGAACGAAGUCAGGCAUGGCAUGCAAUCCUCGCCUUUGGACUAGCUCACACAGUCGGACGGCUUCGGGCGUGGCAUGCCAUCAUUGCCCUUGGACGGGAAACGCGGUCGAACAAUGUAGAGCGUGGCAUGCCAUCAACGCCUUGGGAAAGUACAUACGAAAGGACGACGUCGGGCGUGCUAUCGUCGCCUUAGGGCAGCACAGACGGUCGGACAACGUCGGGCGUGGCAUGCCAUCACCGCCCUUGGACAGCACACACGGUCGGAUGAUGUCGGGCGUAGCAUGCCAUCACCAUCCUUGGACAGCACACACGGUAGUACGACGUCGGGCGUGGCAUGACCUCACCGCCCUUGGGCAGCACACACGGUUGGACUACGUCGGGCGUGGCAUGACAUCACCACCUUUGGAUAGCACACACGGUCAAACGACAUCGGCCGUGGCAUGCCAUCAUCGCCUUUGGGUUGCACACACGAUCGAAUGACGUCGGGCUUGGCAUGCCAUCAUAUCCCUUAGACGGCUAACACGGUCGAACGACGUCAGGCGUGACAUGCCAUCACCGGCUUUGGACACCACACACGGUCGAAUGUCGUCGGGCGUGGCAUGCCAUCAACGCCUUUGGGCAGCACACACAGUCGAACGACGUUGGGCGUGGCAUGACAUCACCGCCUUUGGACAGCACACACGGUUAAACGACGUCGGGCGUGACAUGCCAUCACCUUCUUUGGACAGCACACACGCUGGAACGACGUCGGGUGUGGCAUGCCAUCAUCGCCUUUGGGCAGCACAAACGGUCGAACGACGUCGGGCGUGGCAUGACAUCACCCCCUUGGACAACAUACACGGUCGAACAACGUCAGGCGUGGCAUGACAUCACCGCCCUUGGACGGCAUGCACGCUUGAACGACGUCAGGCGUGGCAUGACAUCACCACCCUUGGACAGCACACACAAUCGGCAAUGUCGGGCAUGGCAUGACAUCACUGCCCUUGGACAACACACACGGUUGGACGACAUCGGGCAUGGAAUGACAUCACCGCCCUUGGGCAGCACACACGGUCGGAUUACGUAUGGCAUGGCAUGACAUCAUCGCCUUUGGGCAGCACACAUUGUCGAACGACGUCAGGCGUAGCAUUACAUCAUAGCCCAUGGACGACAAACAUGGUCGAACGAUGUUGGGAGUGGAAUGCCAUCAUCGCCUUUGGGUAGCACACACGGUUGAACGACGUCGGGCGUGGCAUGCCGUCAUGGCCCUUGGACACCACACACGGCCGAACGAAGUCGGGCAUGCCAUGCCAUCAUAGUCCUUGAAUGGAAAAUAAGGUUGAACGACGUCGGGUGUGGCAUUCCAUCAUCACCUUUCGACUAGCUGAGACAGUCGGAUGACGUCGAGCGUGGCAUGCCAACAUCGCCCUUGGACGGGUAACAUGGUCGAAUGACGUAGAGCGUGGCUUGCAUCAACGCCUAGGGACAGCACACAUGGAAGGACGAUGUUGGGCGUGUCAUGCUAUCAUCGCCUUUGGGCAGCACAGACGGUCAGACAACGUCGGGCGUGGCAUGUCAUCACCGCCCUUGGACAACACACAUGGUCGGAUGACGUUGGGCGUGGCAGCCAUCACAGCCCUUGGAUAGCACAUACUGUAGGACUACAUCGGGCGUGGCAUGACAUCACCGCCUUUGGACAGCACACAUGGUCAAAUGACGUCGGGCGUGGCAUGCCAUAAUCGCCUUUGGGCCGCACAUACGGUCGAAAGACAUCGGGCGUGGCAUGACAUCACCGCAUUUGGACAGCACACACGGUUAAAUGACGUCGGGCGUGACAUGCCAUCACCGCCUUUGGACAACACACACGGUCGAACGAUGUCAGGUGUGGCAUGCCAUCAUCACCUUUGGCAGCACACAUGGUCUAACAACGUCGGGCAUGGCAUGCCAUCAUCGCCUUUGGGCAGCACAAUGGUCGACGACGUCAGGCGUGGCAUGCCAUCAUGCCUUUGGGCAGUACACACGGUCGAACGACAUCGGGCGUGGCAUGCCAUCAUAGCCCAUGCACUGCAAACACGGUCAAACGAUGUCAGGCGUGACAUACCAUCACCACCAUUGGACAACACAUACGGUCGAACGACGUUGGGUAGGGCAUGCCAUUAUCGCCUUUGGGCAGCACACACGGUCGAAAGAUGUCGGGCGUGGCAUGACAUCUCACGCCUUUGGACAGCACACUAUCAUGACCCGCCAGAUACCGAGGCAGAUCGCAACCCGUCUAGGCAGCCAGAAGCCUCUGCAAGGGGGACAGACAGCCUAAAACGGCCAGCAGGCAAAGGGGCAGGCGUCCAAGCAGGCAGCAGAAAGAGGGUCAGGCGUUUCAGCCGUUACAGACAGUUUCAGCAGUUACAGCCGUUUCAUCAGUUACGGCCGUUUCAGCAGUUACAGCAUGUGGGGAGGCGGCAGGUUCCAGCCUUGGAGGGGCUUGUGCAGGGCCUCUGGAACGUGGGGCAGACUAGGGAGCAGCUAGGAGUCCCUUUUUGGAAGACUUAGAAGCAUGUCUUGUGGGCAUGGACAUAGGGACUUGUAUAUAGUAUAGUAUUUAUUUACUCUUAGUGUUUAGAGUAGUAUAAAUAGGUAGUCAUUGUAUUUGUAAUACAUCCACCAACAUUUGAAUACAAGUCUUUUCUUCCAAAACAGUCUUUUGUCUUUCCUUCUAUUUCUCUUCGCGAUCCAAAGUAGUGAAAGGCAUACUUGAGUUUGUGAGAUCGUGAUAGAAUCGUGAGCAAACCGUCAAGUGCCGCACGGAGUAUUGUCCGAAUUGAAAAGUCCGUGACAACACACUGAUAAACGACGUCGGGAGUGACAUGCCAUCACCGCCUUUUGACAGCACACACGGUCGAACGACGUCGGGCGUGGCAUGCCAUCACCGCCCUUGGACAGCACACACGGUCCAACGAUGUCGGGCGUGGCAUGACAUCACCGCCCUUGGUCUGCACGCACGGUCGGACGACGUUGGGCGUGGCAUGACAUCAACGCCCUUCAACAGCAUACACAAUCAAAAUACAUCGGGUGUGGCAUGACAUCACUGCCCUUGGGCAGCACACACGGUCAGACUACGUCGGGCGUGGCAUGCAAUCAUCGCGUUGGGCAGCACACAUGGUCGAACGAUGUCGGGCGUGGCAUGCCAUCAUCGCGUUGAGGCAGCACACACAGUCGAACGACGUCUGGCAUGGCAUACCAUCAUCGCCAUAAGGCAGCACAAACGGUCAAACGACGUCAGGCGUGGCAUGACAUCACCGCCCUUGGACUGCACGCACAGUCGGCAACGUCGGGCGUGGCAUGACAUCACCGCCCUUGGACAGCACACACGGUCGAUAACGUCGGGCGUGGUAUGGCAUCACCGCCCUUGGAAAAACACACAGUCAGCAACGUCGGGCGUGGCAUGCCAUCAUCGCCCUUGGGCAGCACACACGAUCGGCAACAUCGGGCGUGGCAUGACAUUACCGCCCUUGGACAGCACACACGGUCGGCAACGUCCGACGUGGCAUGACAUCACUGCCCUUGGACAGCACAUACAAUCGGCAACAUCGGGUGUGGCAUGCCAUAAUCGACUUUGGGCAGCAUACAUGAUCAAACGACGUCGGGCUUGGCAUGCCAUCAUCGCCUUUGGGAAGAAAAAACUGUCGAACGACGUCGGGCGUGGCAUCCCAUCAUCGCCUUUGGACUAGCUCACACAGUCGGAUGAUGUCGGGCUUGGCAUACCAUCAUCUUCCUUUGACGGCAAACAUGGUUAAACGACUUCGGGCGAACGACGUCGGGCAUGGCAUGACAUCACCGUCUUUGGACAGCACACACGGUCGAAUGACAUCGGUCGUGGCAUGCCAUCAUCGCCUUUUGGCAGCACAUACGGUCGAACGACGUCGGGCAAGGCAUGCCAUAAGAGCCCUUGGACAGCACACACAGUCGAACGACGUCGGGUGUGGCAUUCCAUCAUGGACCUUUGACAACACACACGGUCAAACGACGUCGGGCGUGGCAUGCCAUCAUAGCCCUUGGACGGCGAAUAGGGUCGAACGACGUUGGGCGUGGCAUGCCAUCAUCGCUUUUAAACUAGCUGACACAGUCGGACGAUGUCGGUCGUGGCAUGCAAUCAUCUCCCAUGGACGGCAAAAACGGUCGAACGAUGUCGGUGGUGGCAUGCUAUCACCUCCUUUGGACAGCACAUACAGUCGGACAACGUCGGGCGUGGCAUCCAUCAUCUCCUUUGGGCAGUACAGACGGUCGGACGGCUUCAGGCGUGGCAUGCCAUCAUCGCCCUUGGACAGAACAAACUGUCAUUCGUCGUCGGGCGUGGUAUGCCAUCAUAGCCCUUGGACAACACACACACUCGGCAACGUCGUGCGUGGCAUAGCAUCACCGCCCUUGAAAAGAACACAGCCAGCAAUGUCGGGCGUGGCGUGACAUCACCGCCCUUGGACAACACACACGGUCGUUAACGUCGAGCGUGGCAUGACAUCACCGCCCUUGGACAGCACACACGGUCAAACGACGUCGGGAGUGGCUUGACAUCACCGCCCUUGGACAGAACACACGGUCAAACGAUGUCAGGCGUGGCAUGACAUCACCGCCCUUGGACUGCACGCACGGUCGGAUGACAUCGGGCGUGGCAUGAUAUCACUGCCCUUAGAAUGCACACACGGUCAGACUUCGUCGGGCGUGGCAUGACAUCACCACCUUUCGACAACACACACGGUGGAACGACGUCGGGCAUGGCAUGCCAUCAUCGCCUUUGGGCAGCACACACGACCGAACGACGUCGGGCGUGGCAUGCCAUCAUGGACCUUGGUAAACACACACGGUUGAACGAUGUCGGGCGUGGCAUGCCAUCAUAGCCCUUGGAUGGCAAACAGGGUCGAACGACGUGAGGCGUGGCAUGACAUCAUCGCUUUUAAACCAGUUGACACAGUCAGACGGCGUCGGGUGUGGCAUGCCAUCAUCUCCCUAGGACGACAAACACAGUCGAACAACGUCGAGGGUUGCAUGCCAUAACCGCCUUUGGACAGCACACACAGUCAGACGGUGUCGGGCGUGGCAUGCCGUCAUCUCAUUUGGACAGCACAGACUGUCAGACAGCGUCAGGCGUGGCAUUCCAUCAUCGCCCUUGAACAGCACAAACAGUCGACCAUCGUCGGGCGUGGAAUGCCAUCAUAGCCCUUGCACAGCACACACGGUCGGCAACGUCGGGCAAGGCAUUAAAUCACCGCCCUUGGACAGUACACAUGGUCAAACGACGUCCAGCAUGGCAAAACAUCACCGCCCUUGGACUGCACGCACGAUCGGACGACGUUGGGCGUGGCAUGACAUCACCGCCCUUGGACAGCACACAGCCGGCAACGUCGGGCGUGGCAUGACAUCACCACCCAUGGACAACACACACGGUCGUCAACGUCGGACGUGGCAUGACAUCACCGCCCUUGGACAAAACACACGGUCGGACGACGUCGGGCGUGGCAUGACAUCACCGCCCUUGAAUAGCAUACACGGUCGAACGAUGUCGAGCGUGGAAUGACAUCACAGCCCUUAGACUGCAUGCACGAUCGGACGACAAUGGGCGUUGCAUGACAUCACCGCCCUUGGACAGCACACAACCGGCAACGUCGGGCAUGGCAUGACAUCACCGCUCUUGGACAACACACACGGUCGUCUUCGGGCGUGGCAUGACAUCACCGCUCUUGGACAGCACACACGGUCGGACGAGGUCGGGCGUGGCAUGAGAUCACCGCCCUUGAAUAGCCCACACGAUCGAAUGAUGUCGAGCGUGGAAUGACAUCACCGCCCUUGGACAACACACACAGUCGGACGACGUCGGGCGUGAUAUGCCAUCAUCUCCUUUUGGCAGCACAGACGGUCGGACGGCUUCGGGUGUGGCAUGCCAUCAUCGCCCUUAGACAACACAAACUAUCGGCCAUCGUCGGGCGUGAACAGCACAAACUAUCGGCAGUCGUCGGGCGUGACAUUACAUCACCGCCCUUGGACAGCACACACGAUCGAACGACGUCUGCCAUGGCAUGACAUCACCGUCCUUUGAUUGCACACACAAUCAGACGAAUUUGGGCGUGGCUUGACAUCACCUCCCUUGGAAAGCACAAAGCCGACAACGUCGACCGUGGCAUGACAUCACCGCCCUUAGACAACACACACGGUCGUUAACGUUAGGCGUGGCAUGACAUCACCACCCUUGGAUAGCACACACGAUCGGACGACUUUGGGCGUGGCUUGAUAUCACCGCCCUGGACAUAACACACGGUCGAACAAUGUCGAGUGUGGCAUGACAUCACCGCCCUAGGACUGCACGUACGGUCAGACGACGUCGGGCAUGGCAUGACAUCACUGCCCUUGGACAGCACAGACGGUCGAACUUCGUCGGGCAUGGCAUGACAUCACUGCCUUUGGACAACACACACGUUCGACCGACGUCGGGUGUGGCACGCCAUCAUCGCCUUUGGGCAGCACACAAAGUCGAACGACGUUGGGCGUGGCAUGACAUCACCGCCUUUGGACAGGACACACAGUGGAACGACGUCGAGCGUGACAUGCCAUCACCGCUUUUGUACAGCACACACGGUAGAAUGACGUCAGGCGUGACAUGACAUUACCGACUUUAGACAACACACACGGUGGAACAACGUCAGACGUGGCAUGCCAUCAUCGCCUUUGGACGACAAACACGGUCGACAAAAUAGAGCGUGGCAUGCCAUCAACGCCUAGGGACAGCACACACGGAAGGACGACGUUGGGCGUGUCAUGCUAUCAUCGCCUUUCGGCAGCACAGAUAGUCAGACGAUGUCGGGCGUGGCAUGUCAUCACCGCCCUAGAACAGCACACAUGUUCGGAUGACGUUGGGCGUGGCAUGCCAUCACCGCCCUUGGACAGCACACACGGUAGGACUACGUCGGGCGUGGCAUGACAUCACCUCCUUUGGACAACACAUGCGGUCGAACGACGUCGGCCGUGCCAUGCCAUCAUCGCCUUUGGGCAGCACAAACGGUCGAACGACGUCGGGCGUGGCAUGCCAUCGUAGCCUAUGGACGACAAACACGGUCGAACGACGUCAAGUGUGACAUGCCAUCACCGUCUUUGGACAGCACACACAGUCGAAUGACAUUAGGUAGGGCAUGCCAUCAUCGCCUUUGGGCCGCACACACGGUCGAAAGAUGUCGGGCGUGGCAUGAAAUCACCGCCUUUGCACAGCACACACGGUCAAUAGACGUUGGGCGUGACAUGCCAUCACCGCCUUUGGACAGCACACACGGUCGAAUGACGUCGGGCGUGUAAUGCCAUUAUCUCCUUUGGGCAGCACACACGGUCGAACUACGUCGGGCGUGGCAAGCCAUAAUCGCCUUUGGGCAGCACAAAUGCUAGAACGACGUCGGGCGUGGCAUGCCAUCAUCAUCUUUGGGCAGCACACAUGGUCGAACGACGUCGGGCGUGGCAUGCCAGCAUCGCCAUAAGGCAGCACAAACAGUCGAAAGAAAUCGGGUGUGGCAUGACAUCACCGCCUUUGGACAGCACACACGGUCGAACGACGCUGGGCAUGUCAUGCCAUCAUCAGCUUUGGGCAGCACAAACGGUCAGACAGCGUCGUGCGUGGCAUUCCAUCGUCGAGCUUGGACGGCAAACCAGUCGAACGACGUCAGGCGUGGAAUGCCAUCAUCUCCUUUAAGCAGUACGCACGGUCGACAUUGUCGGGCGUGACAUGCCAUCAUGGCCCUUGGACACCACACACAAUCGAACGUAGUCGGUCAUUGCAUGCCAUCAUAGCCCUUGAACGGCAAACAAGGGUGAAUGAUGUCGGGCGUGGCAUGUCAUCAUCACCCUUGGACUAGCUGGCACCAUCGGACUGCAUCAGGCGUGGCAUGCCAUCAUCGCCCUAGGACGGGAAACACGGUAGAAUGACGUAGAGCAUGGAAUGCUAUCAACGCCUUAGGAUAGCACAAACGAAAGGAUGACGUCGGGCAUGGCAUGUCAUCACUGCCCUUGGACAGCACACACGGUGGGACGACGUCGGGCGUGGCAUGAGAUCACCGCUGUUGGACUGCAUGCAUGGUCGGACUACGUCGGGCGUUGCAUGACAUCACAAACUUUGGACAGCACACACGGUCGAACGACGCGUGGCAUGGCAUGACAUCACCGCCCUUAAACUGCACGCACGGUCAGACGACAUCGGGUGUGGCAUGAUAUCACCGCCUUUGGACAGCACACACGGUCGGCAAUGUCGGGCAUGGCAUGACAUCUCCGCUCUUGGACAGUACGCAUGGUCGGACGACAUCGGACAUGGCAUGUCAUCACCGCCCUUGGGCAGCACACACGGUCGGACUACGUCGGGCGUGGCAUGACAUCACCUCCUUUGGACAGCACACACGAUCGAACGACGUCGUGCGUGGCAUGCCAUCAUCGCCUUUGGGCAGCACACACGGUCGAAUGAUGUCGGGCGUGGCAUACCAUCAUAGCCCAUAGAUGGCAAACACGAUCGAACGACGUCGGGCAUGGAAUUUCAUCAUCUCCUUUGGGCAGCACACACGGUCGAACGACAUCGGGCGUGGCAUGACAUCACCGCCUUUAGACAGCACAAACGGUAGAACGACGUCAGGCGUGACACGACAUCACCAACUUUAGACAAUACACACGGUGGAACGACGUCAGGUGUGGCAUGGCAUCAUCGCCUUUGGACUAGCUGACACAGUCGGACGGCGUCGGGCGUGGCAUGCCAUCAUCGCCCUUGGACGGUAAACACAGUCGAUAACGUAGAGCGUGGCAUGCCAUCAUCACCCUUGGACUAGCUGACACCAUCGGACUGCGUCGGGCGUGGCAUGCCAUCAUCGCCCUUGGACGGGAAACACGGUAGAAUGACGUAGAGCGUGGAAUGUUAUCAACGCCUUCGGACAACACAAACGAAAGGAUGACGUCGGGCGUGGCAUGCCAUCACUGCCCUUGGAAAGUAUGCACAGUGGGAGGACGUCGGGCGUGGCAUGAGAUCACCGCUCUUGGACUGCACACAUGGUAAGACUACGUCGGGCGUUGCAUGACAUCACCAACUUUGGACAGCACACACGGUCGAAUGACGUGUGGAAUGGCAUGACAUCACCGCCCUUAACCUGCACGCACGGUCAGAUGACAUCGGGCGUGGCAUGACAUCACCGCCUUUGGACAGCACACACGGUCAGCAACGUCGGGCGUGGCAUGACAUCUCCGCUCUUGGACAGCACGCAUGGUCGGACGACAUCGGACAUGGCAUGUCAUCACCGCCCUUAGGCAGCACACACGGUCGGACUACGCCGGACGUGGCAUGACAUCACCUCCUUUGGACAGCACACACGGUCGAACGACGUCGUGCGUGGCAUGCCAUCAUCGCCUUUGGGCAGCACACACGGUCGAAUGACGUCGGGCAUGGCAUACCAUCAUAGCCCAUAGAUGGCAAACACGGUCGAACGACGUCGGGCGUGGAAUUCCAUCAUCACCUUUGGGCAGCAAACAAGGUCGAACGACGUCGGGCAUGGCAUGCCGUCAUGGCCCUUGGACACCACACACGAUUGAACGAAGUCGGGUGUGGCAUGCCAUCAUAGCCCUUGAACGACAAACAAGGUUGAACGAUGUAAGGCGUGGCAUGACAUCAUCGCCUUUGGACUAGCUGACACACUCAGACGGCGUCGGGUGUGGCAUGCCAUCAUUGCUCUUUGACGGGAAACAUGGUCGAACGACGUAGAGCAUGGCAUGCCAUCAACACCUUGGGACAGCACACACGAAAGAACAACGUCGGGCGUGGCAUGACAUCAUCACCAUUGGGCAGCACACACGGUUGAACUACGUCGAGCGUGGCAUGCCAUCAUCGCCUUUGGGCAGCACAAAAUGGUCGAACGACAUCGAGCGUGGCAUGCCAUCAUCACCUUUGGGCAGCACACACGGUCGAAUGAUGUUGGGCGUGGCAUGUCAUAAUCUCCUUAAGGCAGCACACACAGUCAAAAGACGUCGAGCGUGGCAUGAUAUCACCGUCUUUGAACAGCACACACGGUCGAACGACAUCGGGCGUGACAUGCCAUCACCGCCAUAGGACAGCACACGAUCAGACGACGUCGGGUAUGGCAUGAGAUCACCGCCCUUGGGCAGCACACACGGUCGAAUGACGUCGAGCGUGGCAUGCCAUCAUCGCCUUUGGAUAGCACACACGGUUAAACAACAACCAGCGUGGCAUUCCAUUAUCGCCUUUGGGCAGCACACACGGUCGAAGUACGUCGGGCAUGGCAUGCCAUCAUCACCUUUGGGAAAGCACAAACAGUUGAACGAUGUUAGCAGUGGCAUGCCAACAUCACCUUUGGAAAGCACACACGGUCAAACGAUGUCGGGCUAGCAUGCCAGCAUUGCCUUUGGGCAGCACACGAUCGAAAGACGUCGGGCGUGGCAUGACAUCACCUCCUUUAAACAGCACACACGGUCGAACGACGUCGAGCGCGACAUGCAAUCACCGCUAUUAGAAAGCACACACGGUUGAAUGACGUCGGGCGUGGCAUGCCAUCAUCACCUUUGGGCAGCACAAACGGUCGAACGACGUCGGGCGUGGCAUGCCAUCUUGCCUUUGGGAAGCACACACGGUCGAACGACGUCGGGCGUGGCAUGACAUCACCGCCCUUGGAUGGCGCAAAUGGUCAAACGACGUCGGGUGUGGCAUGACAUCACCACCCUUGGACAGCAAAGACAAUCGGCAACAUAGGGUGUGGCAUGACAUCACCGCCAUAAGACAGCACACGGUCGGACGACGUCGGGCAUGGCAUAACAUCACCGCCCUUGGGCAACACACACGGUUGGACUAUGUCAGGCAUGGCAUGACAUCACUGCCUUUGUACAACACACACGGUCGAACGACGUCUGGCGUGGCAUGCCAUCAUCGCCUUUGGGCAGCACACACAAUCGAAUGACGUCUGGUGGGGAUGCCAUAAUAGCCCAUGGACGGCAAACACGGUCGAACGACGUCAGGCGUGACAUGCCAUCACCGCCUUUGGACAACACACACGGUCGAACGAUGUCGGCGUGGCAUGCCAUCUUGCCUUUGGGAAGCACACACGAUCGAAAGACGUCGGGCGUGGUAUGACAUCACCGCCUCUGGGCAGCACACACGGUCAAACGACGUUGGGCGUGACAUGCCAUCACCGCCUUUAGAUAGCACACAAGGAAGGACGACAUCCGGCGUGGCAAGCUAUCAUCUCUUUUGGGCAGCACAAACAGUCGGACGUCGUCUGGCGUGGCAUGCCAUCACCGCCCUUGGACAGCACACUUGGUCGGAUGACGUCGGGCAUGGCAUGCCAUCACUGCCCUUGAACAGCACACAAGGUAGGACGACGUCAGCCGUGGUAUGAGAUCACCGCGCUUGGACUGCACGCAUGGUCGGACUACGUCGGGCGUGGCAUGACAUCACCAUCUUUGGAUAGAACACACGGUAGAACGACGCGUGGCAUGGCAUGACAUCAUUGCCUUUGAACUGCACGCACGGUCAGACGACAUCAAGCGUGGCAUGACAUCACCGCCUUUGGACAGCACACACAGUCUGCAACGUCGUGCGUGGCAUGACAUCGCCGCUAUUGGACAGCACGCAUGGUCGGACGACAUCGGGCAUGGCAUGACAUCACCGCCCUUGGGCAGCACAAACGGUCGAACGAUGUCAGGCGUGGCAUGGCAUGACAUCACCGCCCUUGAACAGCACGCACGGUCAGACGACAUCGGGCGUGGCAUGACAUCACCGCCUUUGGACAGCACACACGGUCGGCAACGUCGGGCGUGGCAUGACAUCGCCGCUCUUGGACAGCACUCACGGUCGGACGACAUCGAGCAUGGCAUGACAUCAUCGCCUUUGGGAAGCACAGACGGUCGAAUAACGUCGGGCGUGGCAUACCAUCAUAGCCCAUGGAUGGCAAACACGGUCGAACGAUGUCGGGCGUGGAAUGCCAUCAUUGCCUUUGGGCAGCACACACGGUUGAACGACGUCGGGCGUGGCAUGCCAUCAUUGCCUUUGGGCAGCACACACGGUUGAACGACGUCGGGCGUGCAUGCCAUCAUAGCCCUUGAAUGGCAAACAAUGUUGAAUGACGUCAGGCGUGGCAUGCCAUCAUCACCUUUGGACUAGCUGACACAGUCGGACGGCA